rnacentral:rRNA from 1 species
GACGAACGCUGGCGGCGUGCUUAACACAUGCAAGUCGAGCGGGGCGGCCAACGGGCGAGCAACGCGUUAGUAACUGCCCCCCUCUCUGGGAAAACAGAUGGCAACGGCUGCUAAUACCGGAUAGCUGGGGAUGACUCGGGGCCUAUCAGCUUGUUGGGGGGGUAGUGGCCUGCCAAGGCGACGACGGGUAGCCGGCCUGAGCGGGAGACCGGCCCCAUUGGGCUGGGGUGCGGCCGAAGGGCAUUCGGGAGGCAGCGGGGGAGACUAUUGCAAAACGGGGGACGCCCAGAAGCAGCGACGUCGCGGGCGGGAGGACGGCCUGCGGGGUGUAAGCCGCUUUGAGCAAUAACGGGGAAGUGGCAGAAAAGGCACCGGCUAACUCCGUGCCGGCGGCCCCGGUAAUAC